rnacentral:rRNA from 1 species
CCUACGGGAGGCAGCAGUGGGGAAUAUUGGACAAUGGGGGAAACCCUGAUCCAGCAAUGCCGCGUGAGUGAUGAAGGCCUUAGGGUUGUAAAGCUCUUUUACCAGGGAUGAUAAUGACAGUACCUGGAGAAUAAGCUCCGGCUAACUCCGUGCCAGCAGCCGCGGUAAUACGGAGGGAGCUAGCGUUGUUCGGAAUUACUGGGCGUAAAGCGCACGUAGGCGGUUACUCAAGUCAGAGGUGAAAGCCCGGGGCUCAACCCCGGAACUGCCUUUGAAACUAGGUAACUAGAAUCCUGGAGAGGUGAGUGGAAUUCCGAGUGUAGAGGUGAGAUUCGUAGAUAUUCGGAAGAACACCAGUGGCGAAGGCGGCUCACUGGACAGGUAUUGACGCUGAGGUGCAAAAGCGUGGGGAGCAAACAGGAUUAGAUACCCUGGUAGUCCACGCCGUAAACGAUGAUAACUAGCUGUCCGGGCACAUGGUGUUUGGGUGGCGCAGCUACGACAUUAAGUUAUCCGUCCGUCGGGUAGGUACGGUCGCGAAGAAUUAAAACUAACAAAGGAAAGUUAGUACGGCGUGAGACGUGCCGACGACGACGACGAGGGAGAGG